UAUCUUCCCACAAAAGCAAGUCAAGGAUUUCAAGCUGAAAUAGGAAUUCAUAUUAGGACUUGAGCUGCAUAAUCUAUUACAAAACAUCAUCUUUGAACGAGUCUCAGGAGCUUCUGGGUUUUUGUAAUGAUAAAGCUUGAAUAACGUACGUACUUGGAUCCUGCAGUGUACUCGCAAAACACGUCUUUCAUCUGCAAGGUAAAGUCUUCGGUGCUCUUGAUUGUACUAUUCCACAGGAGGAAUUCACACUAUUG
rnacentral:misc_RNA from 1 species